rnacentral:rRNA from 1 species
UACGGAGGGAGCUAGCGUUGUUCGGAAUUACUGGGCGUAAAGCGCGCGUAGGCGGCUUUGUAAGUUAGAGGUGAAAGCCCGGAGCUCAACUCCGGAACUGCCUUUAAAACUGCAUCGCUUGAAUCCAGGAGAGGUGAGUGGAAUUCCGAGUGUAGAGGUGAAAUUCGUAGAUAUCUGCAGGAACACCAGAGGCGAAGGCGGCUCACUGGAUCGCAACUGACGCUGAGAGACGAAAGCUAGGGGAGCAAACAGG